CCUAAAAUGGGACGUUGAAUAUCCGCGAUGCAAAAUUUCCAACGGAAAUUUCUCCUGAGGCCAAGAUCCAAAGAAAGAGUUUUAGAACCAUAAGUAUUAAGGAAAUAUCAGCACCAGUAUCAACAAGAAAAUGUAAAUUAGUUGAUUUGUCAAAAAUUACGAGGCGAUGGCAAGGUAAACCGUUGUAAGCAGCCUCAAUCUUCAACGGCGCUUCUAGUUUUCCUGAGAGUCGAUCGGCUAAAAGAUCUGCCACGACGAUGAGAUACUUCAAGCGCAGCGAUUCUUUGUUCCAAAUCAGCAAAAUCAGAUUGUUUAGAGGUUGAUUGCGUAUUAACUUCCGCGACUUGAAAACCAGUAUCACGUUCAACUAUUUUAUCCGCGAGUUCCGAGAGCUUGACUAAAGGUACGUUUUCAACCACUGCAAGAGUCGCUUGAACUUUAUAUGGUAAACGUUGUAGCCAAAUCGAAUGUAAAAUGUUAUCUGCUAAAGAACCACCGGAUAAUUGACGGAUUUCACGUAAAAGUUCUGAAGGCUUCUUG
rnacentral:lncRNA from 13 species